rnacentral:rRNA from 1 species
CCUACGGGCGGCAGCAGUGAGGAAUAUUGGUCAAUGGACGAGAGUCUGAACCAGCCAAGUAGCGUGAAGGAUGACUGCCCUAUGGGUUGUAAACUUCUUUUAUAUGGGAAUAAAAUGUUCCACGUGUGGGAUUUUGUAUGUACCAUAUGAAUAAGGAUCGGCUGACUCCGUGCCAGCAGCCGCGGUAAUACGGAGGAUCCGAGCGUUAUCCGGAUUUAUUGGGUUUAAAGGGAGCGUAGGUGGAUUGUUAAGUCAGUUGUGAAAGUUUGCGGCUCAACCGUAAAAUUGCAGUUGAAACUGGAAGUCUUGAGUACAGUAGAGGUGGGCGGAAUUCGUGGUGUAGCGGUGAAAUGCUUAGAUAUCACGAAGAACUCCGAUUGCGAAGGCAGCUCACUGGACUGCAACUGACACUGAGGCUCGAAAGUGUGGGUAUCAAACAGGAUUAGAUACCCCAGUAGUC